CAGAUGGUCACUGCAGAAAACUUCUCCCAGCAGGAUGAUGUCCAUCACUCAUUCUUCUGCUUUUUGCUCCUCAUCUUGUGGUUAUGACUCGCAGACUAAGCGCUUUG